rnacentral:rRNA from 1 species
UGGGGAAUCUUGCGCAAUGGGCGAAAGCCUGACGCAGCAACGCCGCGUGGGGGAUGAAGGCUUUCGGGUUGUAAACCCCUUUCAGCAGGGACGAUUAUGACGGUACCUGCAGAAGAAGGACCGGCCAACUACGUGCCAGCAGCCGCGGUAAUACGUAGGGUCCAAGCGUUGUCCGGAUUUAUUGGGCGUAAAGAGCUCGUAGGUGGUUCGCUAAGUCGGAUGUGAAAACUCGGGGCUCAACCCCGAGACGCCAUCCGAUACUGGCGUGACUUGAGUCUGGUAGGGGAGAUCGGAAUUCCUGGUGUAGCGGUGAAAUGCGCAGAUAUCAGGAGGAACACCGGUGGCGAAGGCGGAUCUCUGGGCCAGUACUGACACUGAGGAGCGAAAGCGUGGGUAGCAAACAG